rnacentral:rRNA from 1 species
GGCAGACGGGUGAGUAACAUGUAGGUAUCUGCCCUUUGGCCUGGAAUAACACGAGGAAACUUGUGCUAAUACCGGAUAAGUCUUUACGGAGAAAGCUUUAUGCACCAUUGGAUGAGCCUGCACUUGAUUAGUUUGUUGGUGGGGUAAUGGCCUACCAAGACUGUGAUCAAUAGCUGAUUUGAGAGGAUGAUCAGCCACAUUGGGACUGAGACACGGCCCAAACUCCUACGGGAGGCAGCAGUGGGGAAUCUUGCACAAUGGAGGAAACUCUGAUGCAGCGAUGCCGCGUGAGUGAAGAAGGCCUUUGGGUUGUAAAGCUCUUUCGUCGGGGAAGAAAAUGACUGUACCCGAAUAAGAAGGUCCGGCUAACUUCGUGCCAGCAGCCGCGGUAAUACGAAGGGACCUAGCGUAGUUCGGAAUUACUGGGCUUAAAGAGUUCGUAGGUGGUUGAAAAAGUUGGUGGUGAAAUCCCAGAGCUUAACUCUGGAACUGCCAUCAAAACUUUUCAGCUAGAGUAUGAUAGAGGAAAGCAGAAUUUCUAGUGUAGAGGUGAAAUUCGUAGAUAUUAGAAAGAAUACCAAUUGCGAAGGCAGCUUUCUGGAUCAUUACUGACGCUGAGGAACGAAAGCAUGGGUAGCGAAGAGGAUUAGAUACCCUCGUAGUCCAUGCCGUAAACGAUGUGUGUUAGACGUUGGAAAUUUAUUUUCAGUGUCGCAGCGAAAGCGAUAAACACACCGCCUGGGGAGUACGACCGCAAGGUUAAAACUCAAAUGAAUUGACGGGGACCCGCACAAGUAGUGGAGCAUGUGGUUUAAUUCGAAGAUACGCGCAGAACCUUACCAACACUUGACAUGUUCGUCGCGACUUUAAGAGAUUAAAGUUUUCGGUUCGGCCGGACGAAACACAGGUGCUGCAUGGCUGUCGUCAGCUCGUGUCGUGAGAUGUUGGGUUAAGUCCCGCAACGAGCGCAACCCUCACUUUUAGUUGCCAUCAUUUAGUUGGGCACUCUGAAAGAACUGCCAGUGAUAAGCUGGAGGAAGGUGGGGAUGACGUCAAGUCCUCAUGGCCCUUACGUGUUGGGCUACACACGUGCUACAAUGGUAUCUACAACAGGAAGCAAAAUCGCGAGGUUAAGCAAAUCCUCAAAAGAUACCUCAGUUCGGAUUGCACUCUGCAACUCGAGUGCAUGAAGCUGGAAUUACUAGUAAUCGUGGAUCAGCGUGCCACGGUGAAUGCGUUCCCGGGUCUUGUACACACCGCCCGUCACACCAUGGGAGUUGGUUCUACCUUAA